rnacentral:sRNA from 2 species
ACAGGUGGACUUGCGCCCAUACAUAUGGGCGAUCGUUCUCUAUCAUGUGCCAUGAGCCAAUCUCGCAAGGCGGGGCAUCUGUGUCUGUCUCUUGAUAUUGGUCAUUUCGCUGGCCAUUUCCGCCGUAUUUUAUCAUGGCAACGAGUUCUCAAUCUACCAUGCUUCGGAAUGACGUGAUUGCUCCUAUGUCGCUCGGUCUACGAAAAACCGAAAAACACCCUUAGAUUCAUAUGUCAAUCACGAUGGACGAAUCCGUGAGAUACCAUUGCCUCCCCCUUCCCCCCCCGCUGCGCUCAACAACGGCACAAAAAGCCACACAAACUCACACAAAGCGUGUUUCGACUGGCGUAACGUGACGUUAACUCACUUCAUAUACAGGUAGGAGAAUGGUCCACAGAGAUAAAUCCAAAAAACCAAACUCAAAGCUAUGUGAUUUUUCCACAUCCUCUCUCUCCUCCUGAGCCUGUACAGACCAAACUUUUUAGUCAGGGGUUUAAAGCAAUUGGGAGAAUGCGGUAAUAUAAACCAGAUAAUGGAGGAAUGGAUGCAGGCGACAGGUUCUAAAUAAUAGUUCGCUAGGAUCACCAAUUUAAUGGAUAUGUCUAAUCCGUAUUGCUGGGACCAAAGAACCCCACACCGAAUGGGGAGGGAAUGAAUGAAAGGUAUAUAUAUAUAUAUAUAUAUAUAUAUGGAAAGAAAAAAGAAUCAUAGAAGUUUACCCAGUACUAAUAAUAGGCGUAGAAAUUGCUUUUUACAAACGCGGACAUAAUAAGGUAAUGAUAAGGAUAAUAAUAAUAAUAAUAGUCAAUGAAGAUAUGAAUAUAUGAAAUAAAAACUAAAAUAAUACCACGUCACGACGACGAACCCUGCUGUUGCUGCUGCUGUUGCUCAACCGCUCUCCCCCACACUUUCUCAAAACUCGGAGUGCCAUCGCCGUCACCGUCAUCAUCACGCCCACCAGCGGGCGGCACCGACGGAUGCUCAUGCUGUUGGAUCCCCAGGUCAUCAGUGCUCUCCUCACCCCCUAUAUCCGGCACGUCACCUUUCCCGCCGCUGCCCAACUCGCCAACGUCCGCCCUCGGUGCAGGGGAACCAGUUGAACCCUGGCGCGACGCGUUAUUGGCAUUGUCAGCAUUACCAUCAGCAGCUGUCGCUGAGGGCGAGCGUUCUCCCCACCAAAUCGAACCGUCCUCCUUGUCCGGGCUGCGGAGAGGCAGCGUCGCGUCAGCGAAGUUGGUGCUAUAGACAACGGCGGCGAAGGCUUCUAGUUCGCGCACGCCUUGUUCCAUGGCUGUGAGGUAGUCAUUGGGGGGUUUGGCGCCGUUUCCGAUUACAUGGGCUUGGCGCGCGAUUACGGCGAGGAUAGUUGCGAGCUUGGCCUUAGAGGGUGUAGUGGGGGCGGAGGUGUACGUGGCUGGAGUGAGGGUCACGGAUGAGGAGAAAUUUUGCAGGUGUUGUUGUUGCUGCUGAUGGUGCUGUAGCGUGGAGGAUGAGUGGUGGUGAGAAGGAAGGGGAUUUUUGAAGGCUUCGAUGGCGCAGUUUUUAUCGAUUAGGGUGGAGAAGGCUUCGUUGUUGAGAAGGGUAAAUAUUUGGCUGAAUUGUGGGGAGUCGAUGAGGUCGGAGGUCUCAUCUAGGAGAUGGCGGAGGCUGGAAUUGCUUUGUGGGGACGAGGCUUCCGAAGCCGAGAGGACGCCAGAUUCCUCCAGGACGUAAUUCUCCUGAUCCCGCGAGGGGAGGAGAUAUGGUAGCCACAUGGUAGAUCUGUAAACGGCGUUUUUUUUCGUUUAGUAUGCAAUCAACCAAAAAUAAAUAAAUAAAUAAAAAACGAAGUAUCCUAGGUACUAUGUUAGAAGGGGCAGAAUGCGUGGGCUCACUUUCGCUCUUCCUCCGUAGCACCUUCAAUCCUCUUCCGUACAGCGAGUGUCAAUUCGGAUAACCUUUCCUGCGUGAUAUCCUCUCGUGGAUUUACUGGUCCAAAUACAUCCUUGACAGCUUCCUUUGUCUUUUCCAUCAACUGUCGCCAGCCACGGUGUAGCAGCCACCAACUAAAUGUUAGAUAGCGACGAUUUGUUUCGAAGUCAUUGCCAAAGGCAUGCCCAAUGCGUUCGUCAUCAUGGUCCUCAAGAUUGAUAACUGACUGGUCCUGAGGAGGGGACGCGAGCGAUACCACGCUCGAGAGGUAAUUUCGUCUGCCGAGGAGGUUGAGCUGGAUGCGUGUGAGGAGGGUG